rnacentral:lncRNA from 1 species
CUCUGGUUGAAAGGAGAAGUGAGUGAAACAGAAGCUUAUCAACAAACAGGGGCAAGGCAGUACCGUAGCUGCAGGGCUGGAAUCAGAAUCCAGAAGGGAUCAAAGCAGUCAAGGAUGGAAAUGUUGAUGGAAGAUGGGGAGAGGGAGCCUCUGGAAUUGAAUGUGCUUCUGAGAAGGGAGGUGGGCCUGAGAUGGAGUGCAUGAAAAGGGAAUUUCUGGGAUGCUGAAGAUAUUCUGUUCAUUCAUCUGAGUGAGUUACACAGGGAUCGAACUCGGGUCCUUGCGCUUGCUGGACAGGCAGUGGAACCACUGAGCUAAAUCCCCGGCCCAUUUCCGUGCUUUCUUCAAGUAGCCCUCAAGGAGACUCUCUCACCAGCCUGGGCCCCCACAUCUCUUUGAGAAAGUGAAAAUGUGGUAAGAGGAGUAAAGUGACACGGGACAUUACCUCUUUGCACCUG